ACUUCAUGUGUGCAGACUCGGACUGAAGACUCGGGACUGUACAAGUGUCAAUUCUUCACAGAUUUUGGGAGGAGCUCUGGUAGAUGUUGGCUCAAUGUCACGGCAGCGAGGGAUGAACCUGAGACACCGAACACAACAAGUCCACCACAACCAGAGAGUCGGGGACGGAUCGUCCUCUACUGUGGACUGGGACUGGGACUGUUAGCAGCAGCUCUGCUGGGUGGUGGUUUCUAUUGGUUCAGAAAUAAUAUAUUGCAGAGAGAACAAGACUCCCCUCCGGAGACUAGAAGUUACACAUCAGCAGAUGUUGAAUCAUCAACAACUGAGACAAAUCAGUUAUAAUCAACUGUUUAUAUCACCGACACAAAGGAAAUACUUUCUCAUUGGCAGCUAAUAUAACACUAGGUAACCAUAGCAAUGUUGAUGUUUCUCACACAUGAAAAUGAGGAAAAAGAACA